GGAUGUGAGGGUGAGCUGGCUGCAAUGUCUGUCACCCCAGUGAUCACCAGGAUUGGUUCAGCUGACCUGGCUGGCUAGGCAGGUGUCCCCUUCCUCCCUCACCGCUCCACAUGCAUCCCUCCCAAAGCUGUGCUCUCUAGAUGGAGGAAGACUGUUCUUCUAGCAAGGGUGUAUAGUAGCUGCCCUGCCCAGCUAGAACUUCCCAAUAAGCUCUCAGGGUUCAGUCAUAGAGGAACGUAGGCUAGCCAAGCUUCCAAGACUCCAAACACCUCUAAAUGAGGCAUCACAUGUGACAGUCUGUCUGUUUUU
ensembl:misc_RNA 7SK 7SK RNA